GACGAACGCUGGCGGCGUGCUUAACACAUGCAAGUCGAACGGAAAGGCCCUGCUUUUGUGGGGUGCUCGAGUGGCGAACGGGUGAGUAACACGUGAGUAACCUGCCCUUGACUUUGGGAUAACUUCAGGAAACUGGGGCUAAUACCGGAUAGGAGCUCCUGCUGCAUGGUGGGGGUUGGAAAGUUUCGGCGGUUGGGGGUGGACUCGCGGCUUAUCAGCUUGUUGGUGAGGUAGUGGCUUACCAAGGCUUUGACGGGUAGCCGGCCUGAGAGGGUGACCGGCCACAUUGGGACUGAGAUACGGCCCAGACUCCUACGGGAGGCAGCAGUGGGGAAUAUUGCACAAUGGGCGGAAGCCUGAUGCAGCAACGCCGCGUGCGGGAUGACGGCCUUCGGGUUGUAAACCGCUUUCGCCUGUGACGAAGCGUGAGUGACGGUAAUGGGUAAAGAAGCACCGGCUAACUACGUG
rnacentral:rRNA from 1 species